UACGGGAGGCAGCAGUGGGGAAUAUUGCACAAUGGGCGAAAGCCUGAUGCAGCUAUGCCGCGUGUAUGAAGAAGGCCUUAGGGUUGUAAAGUACUUUCAUCGGGGAGGAAAAAACAAAACUAAUAAUUUUAUUUCUUGACGUUACCCGAAAAAGAAGCACCGGCUAACUCCGUGCCAGCAGCCGCGGUAAUACGGAGGGUGCUAGCGUUAAUCAGAAUUACUGGGCGUAAAGAGCACGUAGGUGGUUUUUUUAAAGUCAGAUGUGAAAUCCCCUGGGCUUUAACCUAGGAACUGCAUUUUGAAACUGAAAUACUAGAGUAUCGUAGAGGGAGGUAGAAUUCUAGGUGUAGCGGUGAAAUGCGUAGAUAUCUGGAGGAAUACCUGUGGCGAAAGCGGCCUCCUAAACGAAUACUGACACUGAGGGUGCGAAAGCGUGGGGAGCAAACAGGGAUUAGAUACC
rnacentral:rRNA from 1 species